rnacentral:tRNA from 1 species
GAAGGGCUGUGGCUCACCGGUUGAGCAUCAGCCUGGCAUGCAGGUAAACCCAGGCUCAAUCCCUGGCAUCUUCC